rnacentral:rRNA from 1 species
AGGUGCGACCAUAUCAGCACUAAUGCACCGGAUCCCAUCGGAACUCUGAAGUUAAGCAUGCCUAGGCUAGAAUGGUACUAAGAUGGGCUUUGUCACAGGACUUCCACAGACGUAGGCA